rnacentral:rRNA from 1 species
UACGUAGGGGGCUAGCGUUGUCCGGAUUUAUUGGGCGUAAAGAGCGUGUAGGCGGCCAGGUAGGUCCGUUGUGAAAACUGGAGGCUCAACCUCCAGACGUCGACGGAAACCGUGUGGCUAGAGUCCGGAAGAGGAGAGUGGAAUUCCUGGUGUAGCGGUGAAAUGCGCAGAUAUCAGGAAGAACACCAAUGGCGAAGGCAGCUCUCUGGGACGGUACUGACGCUGAGACGCGAAAGCGUGGGGAGCGAACAGG